rnacentral:rRNA from 1 species
AUUGAACGCUGGCGGCAUGCCUAACACAUGCAAGUCGAGCGGGGUUUUCGGACCUAGCGGCGGACGGGUGAGUAAUGCGUAGGAAGCUGCCCGAUAGAGGGGGAUACCAGUUGGAAACGACUGUUAAUACCGCAUAAUGUCUACGGACCAAAGUGUGGGACCUUCGGGCCACAUGCUAUCGGAUGCGCCUACGUGGGAUUAGCUAGUUGGUGAGGUAAUGGCUCACCAAGGCGACGAUCUCUAGCUGGUUUGAGAGGAUGAUCAGCCACACUGGAACAGAGACACGGUCCAGACUCCUACGGGAGGCAGCAGUGGGGAGUAUUGGACAAUGGGCGCAAGCCUGAUCCAGCCAUGCCGCGUGUGUGAAGAAGGCCUUCGGGUUGUAAAGCACUUUCAGCGAGGAGGAAGGGGUGUGUGUUAAUAGUACACACCUUUGACGUUACUCGCAGAAGAAGCACCGGCUAACUCUGUGCCAGCAGCCGCGGUAAGAC